GACGAACGCUGGCGGCGUGCCUAAUACAUGCAAGUAGAACGCUGAAGGAGGAGCUUGCUUCUCUGGAUGAGUUGCGAACGGGUGAGUAACGCGUAGGUAACUUGCCUGGUAGCGGGGGAUAACUAUUGGAAACGAUAGCUAAUACCGCAUAAGAGUAGAUGUUGCAUGACAUUUGCUUAAAAGGUGCAAUUGCAUCACUACCAGAUGGACCUGCGUAGUAUUAGCUAGUUGGUGGGGUAACGGCUUACCAAGGCGACGAUACAUAGCCGACCUGAGAGGGGGAUCGGCCACACUGGGACUGAGACACGGCCCAGACUCCUCCGGGAGGCAGCAGUAGGGAAUCUUCGGCAAUGGCCGGAAGUCUGACCGCGCAACGCCGCGUGAGUGAAGAAGGUUUUCGGCUCGUAAAGCUCUGUUGUAAGAGAAGAACGAGUGUGAGAGUGGAAAGUUCACACUGUGACGGUAUCUUACCAGAAAGGGACGGCUAACUACGUG
rnacentral:rRNA from 1 species